rnacentral:rRNA from 1 species
GUGGGGAAUCUUGCGCAAUGGGCGAAAGCCUGACGCAGCCAUGCUGCGUGAAUGAUGAAGGUCUUAGGAUUGUAAAAUUCUUUCACCGGGGACGAUAAUGACGGUACCCGGAGAAGAAGCUCCGGCUAACUUCGUGCCAGCAGCCGCGGUAAUACAAAGGGGGCUAGCGUUGCUCGGAAUUACUGGGCGUAAAGGGCGCGUAGGCGGACAGCUUAGUCAGAGGUGAAAGCCCAGGGCUCAACCUUGGAAUUGCCUUUGUUACUGGCUGUCUUGAGUUUGGGAGAGGUGAGUGGAACUCCGAGUGUAGAGGUGAAAUUCGUAGAUAUUCGGAAGAACACCAGUGGCGAAGGCGACUCACUGGCCCAAUACUGACGCUGAGGCGCGAAAGCGUGGGGAGCAAACAGGAUUAGAUACCCGAGUAGUCC